UGGCGAACGGGUGAGUAACACGUGGGUAACCUGCCCAUCAGAAGGGGAUAACACUUGGAAACAGGUGCUAAUACCGUAUAACACUAUUUUCCGCAUGGAAGAAAGUUGAAAGGCGCUUUUGUGUCACUGAUGGAUGGACCCGCGGUGCAUUAGCUAGUUGGUGAGGUAACGGCUCACCAAGGCAACGAUGCAUAGCCGACCUGAGAGGGUGAUCGGCCACACUGGGACUGAGACACGGCCCAGACUCCUACGGGAGGCAGCAGUAGGGAAUCUUCGGCAAUGGACGAAAGUCUGACCGAGCAACGCCGCGUGAGUGAAGAAGGUUUUCGGAUCGUAAAACUCUGUUGUUAGAGAAGAACAAGGAUGAGAGUAAAACGUUCAUCCCUUGA
rnacentral:rRNA from 1 species